rnacentral:rRNA from 1 species
CGGAACGGGUGAGUAACGCGUGAGGAACCUGCCUCAAAGAGGGGGACAACAGUUGGAAACGACUGCUAAUACCGCAUAAGCCCACAGGUCGGCAUCGACCAGAGGGAAAAGGAGCAAUCCGCUUUGAGACGGCCUCGCGUCCGAUUAGCUAGUUGGUGAGGUAAUGGCCCACCAAGGCAACGAUCGGUAGCCGGACUGAGAGGUUGAACGGCCACAUUGGGACUGAGACACGGCCCAG